UAAAGCCACUUUAUGUGUAGCUUAGUUUGUUGAUAUAAGGCAUAAUGCCCUACAACGUAGCGGUGCCCGGUAAAAAAUGAUUUCUUCAAUCCAGAAGCUGUUGUUUAACUGAUGCGGCACUUUAAUCGCUAUCCCAUAUUUAUUUAGUAAUGGGACUCUUCACCGAGGUUGUAAAAUGAGACAAACAAUUUUAGCUGUAU
rnacentral:ncRNA from 1 species